GCGGAUAUUGCUACUGCCUUGGAGUACUUGCUUUAUGAAAACUUCGAGACCAAUGAGAUGAUGUACAUGACGGAUGCUGAACUAGCACAGGAAUUCGGAUAUCAACAAGAAGACGAUGCUGAGAAGCAGUGUAAUACAUCUACUGAUUAGAGAUAACAAUGUAGAAAACAUUUGUAUAAUGACAACAAAAGGAUGUGUAUAAUUCUGGAUAAUCAAGUGUUUACCUUAAUACUCCUGAGUUUGCAGGUUCUUGUACUUGAAGCUAGAAACUCCAUGUAAUUCUGCAACUUCAACAACUGAGCAAGUGGCAGGUAGGCGAAAACUUUUCUUCUUCUGUUUUCUCCUCACCAGGAAGUGAAGAUUAAGGCAUGAGUUAACUUCACUAGAAGCACUCUCCUUUUUCCCAGUGUGGCGAAAUUCGAGUCGUCGGAAAUACUCCAUCUCUUUCUUCACAAGUGAUCCUACUGUCCCUUUUGUGCCUACCUCAGUAGGAACUGAUGCACUCAUUCUUAAGCUAAAAACUUUGCACAGAACACAAAAAUCAGAACUAGAUGGUAAUGUCUGAAGCUUUUUGGAUAUAAGAGGGUACUGUAUUUG
rnacentral:lncRNA from 1 species